rnacentral:lncRNA from 12 species
GGACCAGUCACCACAAUGUCUGCUUUGCAAGUAAUAGAGCUAAUUGAUGAUACAGAAGCCACAGUUUGGUUCUUUCAGCUAUAAGUGGCUACACAGAUCUGUAGCCAAGACCAUCCUUACACAGAGUGCACAUGGAGGGGGAAGAUCCUUCAAAAUAGCUCCGUUCCGUAAUAGUACUGCGCAGCCCCUAGUCAGCCUGUCAGUCUACCUUUCUGAAUUCUGAGAUGCUCUGGAAAUCAAAAAUGAAUAACACGUCACGUCCUUCCAUGUUGGAGAACUGUGGCCAGAUGACCUCUGUCAAAUGCUGUGCUCCUGCAAUGAAGAAAGGAAUGAAGACAGCAAGUCUUCCGAGAAAAAAUGAAGCAAGGCAUCGCACCCAUCCCUUUUCCAGACUCUACUUAUAACCAACACAUGACUCCACUGACUGUUCACAAAGACCUCCUAGACGCCUGGCAUUCUGCUGGAUGCUGUCAGUGCAUGAUGAAGAAAAUCAACACCCACAAGAAGCUUAUACCAGGUAGAAACCGAGAAGAAUCUGAAAAAUUGAAUCACAACACGUCCGGUGGCAGCAAGCUGGAAGAGGAAAAGAAAAGACUCCCAGGAGCAUGAGUAGUAGUAAGAGAGGGAAGGCCUGUUGCUCAGCCCAUCAGGUGACUUUGUCGGUGACCCGGCAUUCCAGCAUCAGGCCCUAGGUCAAGUUCAGGAAGAAGGUAGUCAUGUGGCAUUUAGGCAUAUGGAGGUUGUUUAAGAAAGACCUUUGAUAAUGACAUCGUGGAGAGGUAUAGCCUGGUACCAACUACAUGCCUCCUGCUGUCUCCAAAAUUUGGCAGAAUGUCUAUGUUUGGCAAUUUCUAUAAAAUAAUAUAAAAUAUCCAAAAAUGCAUGUACGGCCAUACCACCCUGUCUACGGCUAUAUCACCCUGAAUGCGCCCAAUCUCAUCUAAAAACGCAAAUAUCUUUGAACCAGAGUCUCCUUCCUUCCUUCCUUCCUUCCUUCCUUCCUUCCUUCCUUCCUUCCUUCCUUCCUUCCUUUCUUUCUUUCUUUCUUUCUUUCUUUCUUUCUUUCUUUCUUUCCUUCUUUCUUUCUUUUUCUUUCUUUCUUCUUCUUUCUUCCUUUUUUAAAAAAGAUUUUAUUUAUUUAUUCAUGAGGCACACAGAGAGAGAGAGGCAGAGAUACAGGCAGAGGGAGAAGCAGGCUCCAUGCGGGGAGUCCCACGUGGGACCCGAUCCCGGGUCUCCAGGAUCACACCCUGGGCUGAAGGCAGCACUAAACCCUUGAGCCACCCGGGCUGCCCCCAGAGUCUCACUUCUAAGAAUGUAUUUUACACAUGCAUAUGUGCCAAAGAUGAACGUUCAUCUAUUUUACUGUGACAUUAUUUGCAUCAAAGCACAGAGAUUGAAAAACCCUAUGUGCCCUUUCAACAGAAGACAGGUUAUUUAUUUAUUUACUUAUUUAUUUAUUUAUUUAUUUAUUUUAAGACAGGUCAUUUAAAUUGUGCUAUAUUCUUAUAAAUGUAUAAAUCACAACUUUAAAAUAUGAAACCCUUCUACAUGUAUAUCUGCUAUGAAAUGAGUUUA